CCCAAAUGUGACAUCCUAUUGAACAAUAUGUCAGAAGUGUACAAUAGCUACAUAUUGGAAGCAAGGGAGUUCCCUGUGAUUUCAAUGGUGGAAUGUAUAAAGGGUAAGAUUACUGCUAGACAUGAGAGCAAGCAGAGAGAGGCAAGAAACAAAUGGACUGGUAGGAUAUACCCAAAGAUCAAGAAGAAAUUAGAGAAGGAGAUAGAACUGUCUGCAAGUUGUUUUCCUAGUCACUCUGGUUUGGGAGUAUAUUCUGUGAUAUCAAGAAACUUUACAUACCUUGUGGAUAUUCCAGCAAGGACAUGUGAUUGCAAAAGAUGGCAACUUAGUGGCAUUCCUUGCAGCCACUGUAUUGCGUGCUUUAGGGAAGAGAGGAUAGAUCCAGAAGAAAUGGUUCACAAGUGCUACACAAUAGAGACAUACCUGCUAGCAUAUGGGCACAAUAUAAUGCCUAUGAGAGAUAGGGCUCACUGGGAGCAAGUUAAUGGAAUUGUCAUUCAUCCACCGAUUUACAAGAAAAAGAUGGGAAGGCCACCAAAGAACAGGAAAAAAACACCUGAAGAAAAGAUUCAGAAGGAUGCCAGCAUCGCACUGAACAAGAAAGGUGUGAGCAUGCAUUGUUCAAUUUGUGGAAAAGCAGAUCACAAC
rnacentral:rRNA from 1 species